rnacentral:rRNA from 1 species
AUACGGAGGGGGUUAGCGUUGUUCGGAAUUACUGGGCGUAAAGCGUACGUAGGCGGACUGGAAAGUUGGGGGUGAAAUCCCGGGGCUCAACCCCGGAACUGCCUCCAAAACUUCCAAUCUAGAGAUCGAGAGAGGUGAGCGGAAUUCCAAGUGUAGAGGUGAAAUUCGUAGAUAUUUGGAGGAACACCAGUGGCGAAGGCGGCUCACUGGCUCGAUACUGACGCUGAGGUACGAAAGCGUGGGGAGCGAACAGGAUUAGAAACCCCAGUAGUCC